GUAGUUUGUACACUUGUUUGAUCAUCGCCUAGAGAGCCUCUUUCGAUGUGACUAAUGCCGCUAGACCAGACACAAGAACUGCAUCAACUUACCAUUUCAACGCUAGGCUUGCUAGAGAAAUAAUCCCCGGAGAAGCGAGGUCGUUGACGUCUGAACUGAUAUCAGGAAAAAAAAGGCAGCAAUGGAUAGCGGGUGAUCGUGGAUGCGAAAAAAAAGAUACCAACUCACUGUGUUGUUUGAAGUCGGAUCUCUUCAUGGACAUCUUCUUAUCCUGUGCUGAGUGAAGGCCAGUCUGCCAAUUCAACUUCAACAUUUAAGUGGCGGCGUGCUGUUCGUUCACACUACAAGACAGUAUUCUGGGUCAGGAAAGAACACAGAUAGGACUGCUGUAUGGUGGCCGCCGGCCUAUCAUCAUGUUGUGCCGCAGCGUACAGCAGUUUGUCAUGCGCCGCAAAGUUAGUACGUGAUGAACUGUUCACUGUGUUCACUGUGUUCCGUGUGUAGAAUAUGCACAUUGAACUGUUCCGUGUGUUCCGUGUGUAGAAUAUGCACAUUUAACUGUUAGCAUGUCACAAGGCCACCUAGGGACGAGGUGUUUCUUAGCAGGUCGCUUCCUCAAGGAAUAUCUUGACAAAGUUGCCAAUUUUUCUCCUUUUUGUUUGUCAAUUUCAAUUCUUUGGUCCAAUCUCUGGCAAUGCCAUUCUUCUACUUACAAUGCAGCAACAUCAGCUGUCAGAUAUGUUGCUGUUCAUGCUAUUGCAGACAGUAGUGGCAGUUGUGCCAUCUAUUCACCAGUGCCGCCAAGAAUGUUCGAACAUUUGAAUAUUCUAGAGUGUUUUGAUUGAAAAACAUUCGAACAUUCGAAUAUUGGAAUAUUGAUGUGCAUUCGAGCAUAAUGGUUCACAUUUGAUAGGCGUACACAAGCUGUACUGGUCGCGUACGUCUCUCUCUCUAUCUCUCAGUUGUUUGAAUUUGUAGUGUACAUUAUACAACAUUAUUAUUAAUGAUUGGGUUUUUUUUCUUCUUUUCUUUCUUCUUGCUCUCUGCUGUUCUGCCUU